rnacentral:rRNA from 1 species
UACGUAGGGCGCAAGCGUUAUCCGGAAUUAUUGGGCGUAAAGAGCUCGUAGGCGGUUUGUCGCGUCUGCCGUGAAAGUCCGGGGCUCAACUCCGGAUCUGCGGUGGGUACGGGCAGACUAGAGUGAUGUAGGGGAGACUGGAGUUCCUGGUGUAGCGGUGAAAUGCGCAGAUAUCAGGAGGAACACCGGUGGCGAAGGCGGAUCUCUGGGCCUUACCUGACGCUCAGGCGCGAAAGCUAGGGGAGCGAACCGG